AAAGGAAUAGACGGGGACCCGCACAAGCGGUGGAGCAUGUUGUUUAAUUCGAAGCAACGCGAAGAACCUUACCUACACUUGACAUACCUCUUGGGGCUUUCAGAGAUGAUUGCUUUCGGUUCGGCCGGGGAGAGUACAGGUGCUGCAUGGCUGUCGUCAGCUCGUGUCGUGAGAUGUUGGGUUAAGUCCCGCAACGAGCGCAACCCUUAUCGUAUGUUGCCAGCAUUUAGUUGGGCACUCAUGCGAGACUGCCGGUGAUAAGCCGGAGGAAGGCGGGGAUGACGUCAAGUCAUCAUGGCCCUUACGUGUAGGGCUACAAACGUGCUACAAUGGCGGUGACAAUGGGCAGCAAAGUCGUGAGGCUAAGCUAAUCCCUAAAAGCCGUCUCAGUUCAGAUUGUAGUCUGCAACUCGACUACAUGAAGUUGGAAUCGCUAGUAAUCGUGAAUCAGCAUGUCACGGUGAAUACGUUCCCGGGUCUUGUACACACCGCCCGU
rnacentral:rRNA from 1 species